rnacentral:rRNA from 1 species
UACGAAGGGGGCUAGCGUUGUUCGGAAUUACUGGGCGUAAAGGGCGCGUAGGCGGCUUGGCAAGUUGGACGUGAAAGCCCCGGGCUCAACCCGGGAAUUGCAUUCAAUACUGCCUUGCUUGAAUUCGGUAGAGGUCAGUGGAAUUCCCAGUGUAGAGGUGAAAUUCGUAGAGAUUGGGAAGAACACCCGUGGCGAAGGCGGCUGACUGGACCGACAUUGACGCUGAGGCGCGAAAGCUAGGGGAGCAAACAGG